rnacentral:rRNA from 1 species
CCAUGCAGUCGAGCGGAACGAUGAUAGCUUGCUAUCAGGCGUCGAGCGGCGGACGGGUGAGUAAUACUUAGGAAUCUACCUAGUAGUGGGGGAUAGCACGGGGAAACUCGUAUUAAUACCGCAUACGACCUACGGGAGAAAGGGGGCAGUUUACUGCUCUCGCUAUUAGAUGAGCCUAAGUCGGAUUAGCUAGAUGGUGGGGUAAAGGCCUACCAUGGCGACGAUCUGUAGCUGGUCUGAGAGGAUGAUCAGCCACACCGGGACUGAGACACGGCCCGGACUCCUACGGGAGGCAGCAGUGGGGAAUAUUGGACAAUGGGGGAAACCCUGAUCCAGCCAUGCCGCGUGUGUGAAGAAGGCCUUUUGGUUGUAAAGCACUUUAAGCAGUGAAGAAGACUCCGUGGUUAAUACCCACGGACGAUGACAUUAGCUGCAGAAUAAGCACCGGCUAACUCUGUGCCAGCAGCCGCGGUAAUACAGAGGGUGCAAGCGUUAAUCGGAAUUACUGGGCGUAAAGGGAGCGUAGGUGGCUCUAUAAGUCAGAUGUGAAAUCCCCGGGCUCAACCUGGGAACUGCAUCUGAAACUGUAGAGCUAGAGUAUGUGAGAGGAAGGUAGAAUUCCAGGUGUAGCGGUGAAAUGCGUAGAGAUCUGGAGGAAUACCGAUGGCGAAGGCAGCCUUCUGGCAUAAUACUGACACUGAGGCUCGAAAGCGUGGGUAGCAAACAGGAUUAGAUACCCUGGUAGUCCACGCCGUAAAACGAUGUCUACUAGUCGUUGGGUCCCUUGAGGACUUAGUGACGCAGCUAACGCAAUAAGUAGACCGCCUGGGGAGUACGGCCGCAAGGUUAAAACUCAAAUGAAUUGACGGGGGCCCGCACAAGCGGUGGAGCAUGUGGUUUAAUUCGAUGCAACGCGAAGAACCUUACCUGGUCUUGACAUAUCUAGAAUCCUGCAGAGAUGCGGGAGUGCCUUCGGGAAUUAGAAUACAGGUGCUGCAUGGCUGUCGUCAGCUCGUGUCGUGAGAUGUUGGGUUAAGUCCCGCAACGAGCGCAACCCUUGUCCUUAGUUACCAGCGGGUUAAGCCGGGAACUCUAAGGAUACUGCCAGUGACAAACUGGAGGAAGGCGGGGACGACGUCAAGUCAUCAUGGCCCUUACGACCAGGGCUACACACGUGCUACAAUGGUAGGUACAGAGGGCAGCUACACAGCGAUGUGAUGCGAAUCUCAAAAAGCCUAUCGUAGUCCAGAUUGGAGUCUGCAACUCGACUCCAUGAAGUAGGAAUCGCUAGUAAUCGCGGAUCAGAAUGCCGCGGUGAAUACGUUCCCGGGCCUUGUACACACCGCCCGUCACACCAUGGGAGUUGAUUGCACCAGAAGUGGAUAGCUUAACCUCGGGAGGCGUC